CAGCUUUCAUUCUCUUGUGCAUUAAUUUCUAUUACAUCUCCCUGGAUGGAGAUUGAGUAGAAUGGUGAAGAGGAAAUGGAGUAGUUGUUAGUUCCUGCAACAUUUGGUGAAAUCACAGGCAAAGUGCAGAGUAUGGAAUAAUGGUGGUUUUGUGCUUCCACGUUUUGGAUACUUGUCUCGGCAUGACGAAUGAAAUAGGGAAUGAUGUGCUCUCGAAUUUCUUACACAUUUUAUUCUAUCGUGCGUUCUCCAUCACAGAGGGGUCUUUUUUAAUGGAAAAGAAAGCUGUGGAGGGCGUAGGGCUCAGCAAAUGCAGCGAACAGUCCCUGCGCUCAAAGGAAAUGCAGACACGUCAUAUGGCAGAUGUCAAUAGAAAUAUAAAACAAGGCACAGAAAUAAAAAGAGAAGGCGGGACAGCUAGUUGCAGGGGAGACACACAACAAUAAUGUCACAUAUGAAGCGAAACAUUUGGGAUCGUGAGAAAAACUUGGUACCGAGAUGAUUGCAGGAAGGAUUUUGCAGGGCUCAAAUGUUUGCCUUGUUUGUAACUGAAGAACUAGACUCAUGGCAAGGUAAAGGCAAAAAUACACCAUUAUUCCUUUGUCUAGCAUUAAUACUUUUAACAAAGAUCUGUUCUGCCAAAGCAAAUGUCAUGUAUUCACAAACAAAAACAAAUCAAAACUAUCCUUCCAGGCUUUGGCAGGAACUUCGCUGCCUUGCAGCCCUUGUUUAAGAAAGCCAAGGCUCUCAUAAUAUUGACUUCAAGUCCUCCUCCUAGGGAUAACAAUUGUUACAAAAAUUGUACUCGUCUUUAAAUAUUUUUUCUUAUUUAACACAUGUUUGUCUGUGA